CCUACGGGAGGCUGCAGUGGGGAAUUUUGGACAAUGGGGGCAACCCUGAUCCAGCCAUUCCGCGUGAGUGAAGAAGGCCUUCGGGUUGUAAAGCUCUUUCGGCCGGGAAGAAAUCGUGCGGGCCAAUACCCUGUAUGGAUGACGGUACCGGAAGAAGAAGCACCGGCUAACUACGUGCCAGCAGCCGCGGUAAUACGUAGGGUGUUAGCGUUAAUCGGAAUUACUGGGCGGAAAGUGUGCGCAGGGUGUUAAGUCCCCGGGCUUAACCUGGGAACUGCGCUUGUGACUGCAAGACUUGAGUGCGGCAGAGGGGGGUGGAAUUCCACGUGUAGCAGUGAAAUGCGUAGAGAUGUGGAGGAACACCGAUGGCGAAGGCAGCCCCCUGGGUCGACACUGACGCUCAUGCACGAAAGCGUGGGGAGCAAACAGGAUUAGAUACCCUAGUAGUC
rnacentral:rRNA from 1 species